rnacentral:misc_RNA from 1 species
GGGCAGGGAUAACUGGCUUGU